GUUUCCUACGGGGGGCAGCAGUGGGGAAUAUUGCACAAUGGGGGGAACCCUGAUGCAGCGACGCCGCGUGAGUGAAGAAGUAUCUCGGUACGUAAAGCUCUAUCAGCAGGGAAGAAAAUGACAGUACCUGACUAAGAAGCCCCGGCUAACUACGUGCCAGCAGCCGCGGUAAUACGUAGGGGGCAAGCGUUAUCCGGAUUUACUGGGUGUAAAGGGGGCGUAGACGGCACUGCAAGUCCGGAGUGAAAGCCC
rnacentral:rRNA from 1 species